AUGAUGGACUAUAGGACAGGACUGCUGCUUUUUACUGUCUGCUGGGCAGGUGUUGAUAGUCAGACUCUGACAGAAUCUGAAGCAGUGGUUAAAAGUCCUGGAGAAUCCCACAGACUGACCUGUUCAGCCUCUGGAUUCACAUUCAGCAGCUACUAUAUGGCUUGGUUUAGACAGGCUGCAGGAAAAGGACUGGAGUGGAUCGCUACUAUAAGAUAUGACAGUGCUAACAUCUACUACUCUAAUUCAGUCAAAAGCCGGUUCACCAUCUCCAGAGACAACAGCAGACAGCAGGUGUAUCUGCAGAUGAACAGUCUGAAGACUGAAGAUUCUGCUGUUUAUUAUUGUGCCAGAGACUCACAGUGACACAGGAGGAAGUAUCGCUGUACAAAAACUUAACGUGUCAAACAGUACUCUC